GAUGAACGCUGGCGGCGUGCCUAAUACAUGCAAGUCGAGCGAACAGACGAGGAGCUUGCUCCUCUGACGUUAGCGGCGGACGGGUGAGUAACACGUGGAUAACCUACCUAUAAGACUGGGAUAACUUCGGGAAACCGGAGCUAAUACCGGAUAAUAUAUUGAACCGCAUGGUUCAAUAGUGAAAGACGGCUUUGCUGUCACUUAUAGAUGGAUCCGCGCUGCAUUAGCUAGUUGGUAAGGUAACGGCUUACCAAGGCAACGAUGCGUAGCCGACCUGAGAGGGUGAUCGGCCACACGGGAACUGAGACGCGGUCCAGACUACUACGGGAGGCAGCAGUAGGGAAUCUUCCGCAAUGGGCGAAAGCCUGGCGGAGCAACGCCGCGUGAGUGAUGAAGGUCUUCGGAUCGUAAAACUCUGUUAUUAGGGAAGAACAAAUGUGUAAGUAACUAUGCACGUCUUGACGGUACCUAAUCAGAAAGCCACGGCUAACUACGUG
rnacentral:rRNA from 1 species